rnacentral:rRNA from 1 species
CAGCCGCCGCGGUAAUACGUAGGGUGCAAGCGUUAAUCGGAAUUACUGGGCGUAAAGCGUGCGCAGGCGGUUAUAUAAGACAGAUGUGAAAUCCCCGGGCUCAACCUGGGAACUGCAUUUGUGACUGUAUAGCUAGAGUACGGCAGAGGGGGAUGGAAUUCCGCGUGUAGCAGUGAAAUGCGUAGAUAUGCGGAGGAACACCGAUGGCGAAGGCAAUCCCCUGGGCCUGUACUGACGCUCAUGCACGAAAACGUGGGGAGCAAACAGGAUUAGAGACCCCUGUAGUCCCUGUCUCUUAUAC